GACAGAGGGGGCAAGCGUUGCUCGGAAUCACUGGGCGUAAAGGGCGCGUAGGCGGGAUGGCAAGUCAGUCGUGAAAUCUCUCGGCUCAACCGAGAAACGUCGGCUGAUACUGCCGUUCUUGAGGGAUGCAGAGGAGACUGGAAUUCCCGGUGUAGCGGUGAAAUGUGUAGAGAUCGGGAGGAACACCGGUGGCGAAGGCGGGUCUCUGGGGCAUUUCCUGACGCUGAGGCGCGAAAGCGUUGGGGAGCAAACGGG
rnacentral:rRNA from 1 species